ACUGAACGCUGGCGGCAGGCUUAACACAUGCAAGUCGAGCGGGCGAGGUUGCUUCGGUAACUGAGCUAGCGGCGGACGGGUGAGUAAAGCUUAGGAAUCUGCCUAUUAGUGGGGGACAACAUUCCGAAAGGGUUGCUAAUACCGCAUACGUCCUACGGGAGAAAGCAGGGGAUCACUUGUGACCUUGCGCUAAUAGAUGAGCCUAAGUCGGAUUAGCUAGUUGGUGGGGUAAAGGCCUACCAAGGCGACGAUCUGUAGCGGGUCUGCGAGGAUGAUCCGCCACACUGGGACUGAGACACGGCCCAGACUCCUACGGGAGGCAGCAGUGGGGAAUAUUGGACAAUGGGGGGAACCCUGAUCCAGCCAUGCCGCGUGUGUGAAGAAGGCCUUUUGGUUGUAAAGCACUUUAAGCGAGGAGGAGGCUUACCUGGUUAAUACCUGGGCUAAGUGGACGUUACUCGCAGAAUAGGCACCGGCUAACUCUGUGCCAGCAGCCGCCGUAAUAC
rnacentral:rRNA from 1 species